UCACCUUCCAGGCUGGGUAUGGAGACCUCUAAAUUCAUCCUAGGGCCACAAGAGCUUCUGUAAGAGUUCAGGCCCGUUUCAGAACACUCAGAGGUUCCUAGCCUGAGAAGUAAUCCCCAAAGCAGACCAACCGGUUUGGGGUAAAACAGGAAGAGUUGGGUCCAUUCUGGAUCUUUCCUAGCUAAAUGCCUUCAGGAUUUAGGAAUAUUUUCCUAGGAGGGCCAAGGAUUAGCUAGACCUGCCCAGCGAUUCCAGCCCUGAGAACCAGACAGAAUGGAGGUAUAGCUGACAGCUGGCUGGGAGGGGGCUGACGGUCCUCACUGCCACCAGGCUUAGUUGGAGACAGAUUCCUCGGGCUGUAGAGAGACAACAGUAGAAGCAAAGAGACCAGUUAGGAGUCUAGGUGAGAGGCAGCGGCAGCCUGGACUAACAUGGUAACAGUGGAGCUAUUGAGAGUGGUCACAUUUGGAAGAUGUUUUGUAGG
rnacentral:lncRNA from 1 species